rnacentral:lncRNA from 1 species
AGCUCCUGCUCACUCCCAACAGGAGCUCCGAUAUACAAGCCCAGCAGAUUUCCAGCUCUGCCAAGUGGAACAAAGCAGGAGCCCUCUUCGGACUCCUAAGAGCAGCCACGGGAAGCCUCACCAGCUCCACAGUUCUGCAGAUGGUUCCACAGACGAGAGUCCUGGGCUCAGAGCCGAGAUGAGCAGAACCUGCUGCAGCAGAAGAGGACCCUGUUGCUGAGGGCAUCAGGCAGACUGCAGAAAGGUCAUGGGCUUUGAAAGAGGCAAGAUCACCACAUCUGGUUCCAGAGUUCCUUAACCCUCUUCUUCCCAGAAAAUUGGUGUCCAUGGUAGUGGCCUUCUUUGGAUGGUCCUUCCCAGAAGGAACUGAAAUUUCCUAGGAGUUUCUUGGCCUGAG